rnacentral:rRNA from 1 species
GAUGAACGCUGGCGGCGUGCCUAAUACAUGCAAGUCGAGCGAACAGACGAGGAGCUUGCUCCUCUGACGUUAGCGGCGGACGGGUGAGUAACACGUGGAUAACCCACCUAUAAGACUGGGAUAACUUCGGGAAACCGGAGCUAAUACCGGAUAAUAUAUUGAACCGCAUGGUUCAAUAGUGAAAGACGGUUUUGCUGUCACUUAUAGAUGGAUCCGCGCCGCAUUAGCUAGUUGGUAAGGUAACGGCUUACCAAGGCAACGAUGCGUAGCCGACCUGAGAGGGUGAUUGGCCACACUGGAACUGAGACACGGUCCAGACUCCUACGGGAGGCAGCAGUAGGGAAUCUUCCGCAAUGGGCGAAAGCCUGACGGAGCAACGCCGCGUGAGUGAUGAAGGUCUUCGGAUCGUAAAACUCUGUUAUUAGGGAAGAACAAAUGUGUAAGUAACUAUGCACGUCUUGACGGUACCUAAUCAGAAAGCCACGGCUAACUACGUG